rnacentral:rRNA from 1 species
UACGUAGGGGGCAAGCGUUGUCCGGAUUUAUUGGGCGUAAAGCGCGUGUAGGCUGCCCAGCAAGUCGGAUGUGAAAGCCCUGGGCUUAACCUAGGAACUGCAUUCGAUACUGCCGUGCUUGAGGACUGGAGAGGAGACUGGAAUUUACGGUGUAGCGGUGAAAUGCGUAGAUAUCGUAAGGAAGACCAGUGGCGAAGGCGGGGUCUCUGGACAGUUCCUGACGCUGAGGCACGAAGGCCAGGGGGGGCAAACGGG